CCUACGGGAGGCAGCAGUGGGGAAUAUUGGGCAAUGGGCGCAAGCCUGACCCAGCAACGCCGCGUGAAGGAAGAAGGCUUUCGGGUUGUAAACUUCUUUUUAGAGAGAAGAGCAGAAGACGGUACCUCUUGAAUAAGCCACGGCUAACUACGUGCCAGCAGCCGCGGUAAUACGUAGGUGGCAAGCGUUGUCCGGAUUUACUGGGUGUAAAGGGCGUGCAGCCGGGAAGACAAGUCAGAUGUGAAAGCCCGCGGCUCAACCGCGGAACUGCAGUUGAAACUGUUUUUCUUGAGUACCGGAGAGGUCAUCGGAAUUCGUUGUGUAGCGGUGAAAUGCGUAGAUAUAAGGAAGAACACCAGUGGCGAAGGCGGAUGACUGGACGGCAACUGACGGUGAGGCGCGAAAGCGUGGGGAGCAAACAGGAUUAGAUACCCGGGUAGUC
rnacentral:rRNA from 1 species